AGAAAGAAACAAAACAAAACAAAACAAAACAUAUUGCUAAACAUGGUCACCAUGGCUGCAUGUAGAGAAACACCUGGUAAUUAUCCGUAAUCACCAGUCAUUAACAUCAGCUAUGAGCUACCAUCACCUGGUGAUUCUGUGUUAUCGGCGGAGCUCAAUCAUCCGUUUCAUGUUUUAGUUUCUACCUUUAGGACCCUGGACCUGCAUGACAGUCCGUCCAUCUCACUUACAUUACAUCUGUUUUUGUUUUGUUUUUUCAACCGUUUCCAGUUUUCGCCUUGAGAUUUGAUCUAAUAACACAGGACCCUGCAAAACAAGUGCAGUUUUCAAGGCUGGAGACAUGAUGUGGAAGCGGAAGGACGUCAAAACCACGGUUUACGUGUAGGAGUCGGACAUUGACGACCUGAGCUGCAGAGAAAUAAUUCUAUGCACGGAGACAGAUCCAGGAUGGACUGGAUGAAGCAUUCAGAUAAAAAUCAAAGAAUGAAGCUCCAUUUCAAAACACCAUCCCCCCAGGCAAUAUUCAGACCGAGUAAAAGAGCUGUUUGUAACUGCGGCGAAGGGAAGGGAGCUGUUUGCACUGAGAGAGCGGCGUCCUUGAGCUGGAGGCUGGAUUACAGCCCUUCUUGCUUGAUAACCACAUGGACACCACACUGCUGUGUUAGACACUUGUCUUUGGAAAAUAUUAAGAUGUCAGAUUAAAAAAAAAAAAAAACAACUCCUGAAAUAAACAAUAAUUUUCAUUACACCUUAGCCGUUUAAAUUCCAGAAAACCAAAUAUAUGUGAUUGUUGACAUUAAUCUUUUGUGGAUGUUAAUUAUUUUACCUCUAGUUAAUUAUUAAAGCAUUGUUUUACUUUUUGCAUAUAAAUUAGUUUCCAAAUUUCCAAGAAUUCUAUAGUCAACCUUUGGAGAACAUGACACGUGUCAUCAGCUUGUCUUAACUAAAUAGAUUCCUAACUUCACUCCAGACAGAAUUAUAUUUUAAUACUAGUAAAGAACUUCUUCCUAAAUACCAAGGUUAAUAUUACUGUACUACAUGCCUUGAUGUAGAUGUAGUGCCACCAGGCCUGCAGAUCCACCAGGCUCCAAAAUCAGGUUGGGUUGUAUCAACAUCAAAAUAAUCCCAAAACAAUUCUGGUGUGAAUCUUGAUUUAAACCUGUGGAGUAUACCAAAAUCCACCAACUCAGGAGGGCUUUUACACUUGCAAAUAUUUGGGCAUGAAAAUAAUUGGGAACCAACACUACUUUAGUGUUUAGUGUUCAGGUUCACGUCAGAUGUAACUAUGAAAGUUAACCACCACAUCACAUGUCAUCAUGUAUCACUCAGGACAGAAUAAAGUACUUCCUGUUCUGUAUGGACGUCUCUUAAAACGUGACAGCAAAAGAAAACAAACAUAGAUGAAGAAUGAAACCACUUUUAGUUCUACAGCAGAGUUGAGACCCUGGUGGAAUCUGAGUUACUGCAGGCUGGAAAUCUCUGACUCCAGCUCUUUGUGGAUCAUCUGAACCUCACAGCUUUCCUUUACCAAAGCUCCACUUUGCCACGAAUUAGGCUCUAAUGCCACUCCUCUGUCUAUUGAUUUGUUAAGCGUGCAUUUCCUGUCCUGCUUUGAUGUCAUUGUGGUGUCAGUGUAUGGAAGAUUCCGGAUAAAAUUAUAGUGGGUUUUAGCUUUUAAGCUUAUUAUUUCAGGGGAUUAUUCAGUCGCAGUUGAAUUACCAUUUUUAUUCUCUUUUUUUGGGCCACAAAUUGGAUUAUUCUACUCUAUUCUACUCUUUGCUACAGAGGCGAUAUCAAAUAUCCAUCACUGAUAGGCUGUUGCCAUGAAAACUCACUAAAGCGGUGCAGACCGGUGCCGAUGGGGUCAUGAGAGAGUUAUGUGUGGAGGUUUUACCAGCUUGGCCAACAAGAUCUGCAGCAUAGAGCAGAACAAAAUGAUGGUCCUUAGAGUCUGGGAUCUGAGCGAAAUAAAGCACAGUGACCAAAUGUAGCACAAAGACAUUAUGCAUUACAGCAGAAUAUUUACAAAGGCGGUAAUUCUGCUGCUUUGUGUGUUCAAUA